GAACGCUAGCGACAGGCCUAACACAUGCAAGUCGAGGGGCAGCACAAGGAGCAAUCUGAGGUGGCGACCGGCGCACGGGUGAGUAACACGUAUGCAACCUGCCUGUAAGCGGGGAAUAACCCGUUGAAAGACGGACUAAUACCGCAUAAUACUAAAUUACUGCAUGGUAAUUUAUUUAAACAUUUAUGGCUUACAGAUGGGCAUGCGCAUGAUUAGCUAGUUGGAGAGGUAACGGCUCCCCAAGGCAACGAUCAUUAGGGGUUCUGAGAGGAAGGUCCCCCACACUGGUACUGAGACACGGACCAGACUCCUACGGGAGGCAGCAGUGAGGAAUAUUGGUCAAUGGACGAGAGUCUGAACCAGCCAAGUCGCGUGCAGGAAGAAUGUCCUAUGGAUUGUAAACUGCUUUUGCAGGGGAAUAAAGUGCAUCACGUGUGAUGUUUUGUAUGUACUCUGCGAAUAAGGAUCGGCUAACUCCGUGCCAGCCGCCGC
rnacentral:rRNA from 1 species